rnacentral:misc_RNA from 1 species
GAGCUCCAUUCCAAACUUGCAAAAUAGGACAAAAUUUUUAUUAACUAAAGGUUUCUAUUUUGAUUUAAUUUUUUUUCCCUUUUUGGUAAUUUAAAGGUUACAGCUCAAAUGAAAAAAAUGUGAUGUGAAAUUGGAAGUAUCUAGUUUCAAAGUGCUAUAAUAUCAGGGUUUCAAGUUUUGAUAUCAAAGUUAUAUUAGUGGAGAUUUAAUUUUAUUCUAUCAUAACAAAUAUAGCUCAUACCCUCCAACAUUAAAUUUCUAACUCCACCCCUGGAUGUUUGGCAAAUUAUGCAAGUAAAGACACCUACAAGAACCAAAGCCAAGAUUUCUCAAGCAAUGAAAGGAAUAGAUCAUCCGGAAGCCUAGAUUUGAUCCUGAACACACAACAAGCAGUAUUUAUGCAAAAGCUUAAUUCCAAGAACCAUAAACACAAAGUGAAAGUAAAAGAAGGUUUCAAACCAUAUCAAGAAUAUGAAUAGACUGGAAGAUCACUUGGGUGUGCCAAUCAGAAAGUAAGGCUUAUAACUGUCAGUUGUAGGCUUACAUCUACAGGAUUCAGACAAGAUUCUAAGAAAAUGCCUCCAAGAUCCUUUAUGAAACUUAUUGAAUGCCAAGGCGUCAUGCCUUAUUUACCAGUUAUUCUAUUUAGCGAGACAGGAAACUACCCAGUCUAAAUUCAAAUUUGAAGGAAA